rnacentral:rRNA from 1 species
CGAAUGCUGACAUAAGUAACGAUAAAGCGGGUGAAAAGCCCGCUCGCCGGAAGACCAAGGGUUCCUGUCCAACGUUAAUCGGGGCAGGGUGAGUCGACCCCUAAGGCGAGGCCGAAAGGCGUAGUCGAUGGGAAACAGGUUAAUAUUCCUGUACUUGGUGUUACUGCGAAGGGGGGACGGAGAAGGCUAUGUUGGCCGGGCGACGGUUGUCCCGGUUUAAGCGUGUAGGCUGGUUUUCCAGGCAAAUCCGGAAAAUCAAGGCUGAGGCGUGAUGACGAGGCACUACGGUGCUGAAGCAACAAAUGCCCUGCUUCCAGGAAAAGCCUCUAAGCAUCAGGUAACAUCAAAUCGUACCCCAAACCGACACAGGUGGUCAGGUAGAGAAUACCAAGGCGCUUGAGAGAACUCGGGUGAAGGAACUAGGCAAAAUGGUGCCGUAACUUCGGGAGAAGGCACGCUGAUAUGUAGGUGAAGUCCCUUGCGGAUGGAGCUGAAAUCAGUCGAAGAUACCAGCUGGCUGCAACUGUUUAUUAAAAACACAGCACUGUGCAAACACGAAAGUGGACGUAUACGGUGUGACGCCUGCCCGGUGCCGGAAGGUUAAUUGAUGGGGUUAGCCGCAA